ensembl:lncRNA
AUAUAUGCUUUAUAGUGAAUUUCCAUUUGUUGACCUGUCUUUCCAGAAAUGUGUGGAAACUAGUACAACUCUACUGAACUUACUUUGUUUCUCACCAGAAUCCUUUGGGGCAACUAGAGAAUUGGAGUCACCACCUGAUGGAGAACUAGAAGACUGACACAAAAAGCAUAACAGAAGGGAGGAGCUCAGAAGAUAGGAUAGCAAUUUAAAAAAUGGUGAUUCCAAAGGGACAGUUUUAGAGCUCCUUCAACCCAAGAGAUGUUCCACAGACUGCUUCAUCUAAACUCAGUUUCAUCACCUUACCUAUUUUUCUACUUUAUCUUUUCUCAAGAAUGUGAGUGCCAUAGUUUAUACUUGGCAAAAAACUCACCCAGAUAUGCCUUU